UAAAAAAAGCUACCUCUCUCCACCAGCCCUCUCCUCCCCUCCCAUUAGGCUUCGCCGGAAAACCACUUCUGCUCUUUUCUGCAAAUCCACUCGUAAUGCCCAUGGGAUUGCCUUUUUUGUCCUCUUCCUUAUCUCCUCUCGUGUUAUUGGAUAAACAAAGCUGAGGCACCCCACCUUUUUCACGCUUUGCAUUUGAUGAUGAUCUUCUUCGUCUUGCUUCUAAUGUAAAGUGUGCGAGUCAGUACAGAGCCAACUCGGGAUGAGCAAGCUCUCCUUACCGUCAUCUCUCAGACCCCACAUGCGAAUCAGGUCAAAUGGAACGUUUCCGACUCUGACUGCAGUCUAAUCGUCUCGCCGGCGGGAUCCAGCUGAUUUCUCCAAUUUGAUGUUUCUUCGUAACAUUUACCUCCAGGAUAACCAGCUCCGCCCUCCUCAAGGGAGGAAGAUGACCAACUGAAUAGGGGUGCGAAAAAGAUCAAAGGAGAAUGGGAGGUGGAAAUGUGAAUGGCAACUCUGUUUUGGAUGGGAAUUGGCCUAAACUCGGAAGUAACGAUGUGAAAGCUGGAGCUUCUUCGUGUAAGAUGUCUUUUGCUCUUAAGUUGAAAGGUGCUCCCAACGAAGAAGAAAAGGGUAUAGGUGAAAAUGCAUCUGAUGAGUUUGAAGAUUCAGAUUUUGAGAGAUCGAAGGAGGAGAAUGGAUGAAGAGGAGCCAGACUGUACGAUUAAGAUGUGUGGCAGUAGGAACGGGACUCAUGGUGAUGGGGGUAGGGUUGACAGGACAAAUUGUAAAUGGAUGCCCCCUCUUGAGAAUUGGUUUGAAGUCAAUGUUGAUGGAGCUGUUUGUGAAGGCUCUGGACGUGCAACAGGUGGUGGGGUUAUACGCGAGGUUCUUCUGGGAAGUCGAGUUGCUGGUUUUAAUCAAAUUUUGGGAAUCUGUCUGCCUCAGGAAGCUGAAGAAUAGGCAAUCCUAGGGGUCUUGAGACAGCUUGGGAGUUUAAUGGUGGGGUCUGACUCAAAACUGACUAUAGAUUUUUUUAACUAGGCAGUACGCAGAGCGCAGUGACGCAGAGAAUCGAAGACUUCAAAACUAGGAAUUGGCAACGUAAGUUUCAGUUUAUUCCUAGAGAAAUCAGUAGAGUGGCUGAUCACGUUGCCAAGAAUAGUUCCAGUAAGGAGAAUGAAUUUAGUUUCAUAGAUGCUACCCCAAGCCAUUUAAUGGCCCUGAUGGAGAGUGAUUGUAUGGGAUGUCAGUCCCCACGUGAUGUUAUGUUUUUGUGAUCUGUAGGGACUUGUUCCCUCGACCUUUAAAUAAAAAAGAAAGAAAGUAUCGUUACUUCA